rnacentral:lncRNA from 1 species
GGCGAAAAGCGACGUGUACGGACUGGGAGUGGUUUUGCUGGAGCUGCUGACGGGGAAGAGGGCGAUUUUUAAAUCGGACGACGGGACGCCGACGAGUAUAGUGGAGUUUGCGUUGGCGAAGAUCACCGGCGGGGAGCUGUGGGGGAUACUGGACGGGAGAGUACGGCCCCCGGACGUGAACGAGUCGGAGGCGGUGGGGCUGGGGGGGG